GAUGAACGCUGGCGGCGUGCUUAACACAUGCAAGUCGAACGAAGCACCUCUCCCGAAGAUUGACACAGCUUGCUGUAGAUUGAUUCAUUUGAGGUGACUGAGUGUCGGACGGGUGAGUAACGCGUGGGUAACCUGCCUCAUAGAGGGGGACAACAGUUGGAAACGACUGCUAUUACCGCAUAGUAAGAAGAAUUCGCAUGUUUUCUUCUUGCAAGAUUCAUCGCUAUGAGAUGGACUCGCGUCUGAUUAGCGAGUUGGUAAGGUAACCGCGUACCAAGGCGACGAUAAGUAUCCUGAAUGCGAGCAGGAACCGCGACAUUGGGAGUGAGGCACGGCCCAAACUCCUACGGGAGGCAGCAGUAGGGAAUAUAGCACAAUGGAGGAAACCCUGGUGCGGCAACGCCGCGAGAGUUAAGAAGUAUUUAGGUAUGUAAAGCUCUAUCAGAAGGGAAGAUGAUGACGGUACCUGACUAAUAAGCCCCGGCUAACUACGUG
rnacentral:rRNA from 1 species